UGUUAUAUAUAUAUUUAGUUUGUUUUAUGGGUGUAGUAAAAACAUUAAACUAUAAAACUGACUUUAUCUUUGGAGGUGAUAGUGUGGCCGAAGCUGUCAAAACACUAAGAAGGAGCUAACAGAAGCUAACGACCCGCAAACAAGACGCCGACCCCGGGGAGGGCGGAGCGGGCACAGCCAGGCUGGAUAAGAGGACAGAGAACUACGGGAGUCAGACUGAAUGGAGAACUUUCCUGAAGAUUGCUGCUAUUCUCCGGCUUAUUGCCUCCUGUCCUUCAUGGUUUCACAUGACGUCCCGGGUGUCAGGAUCACCUUCAAGCUGUAAAUGAGGAAGCUGAUGAUACGAGUGGACUGGGAUCAAAAAGGAGGAAAUUGGCAGAGAUGUUGUUGAGCCAGAACACAAACUGGCAUCAUACAUCACACCCUCUCUGUGACUAAUAUCACAGGCUCCGGUUUUGGACACAACCUUGAUGUUGUGGUCCUGAAGCUACCAGAGUUUAUCCUCUUGGCAUCUGGCUGCGAGGUAGAGGGGACCGAGAGAAAGCAUCUGUGGGGUCUCGUCCUCCUCCUCCUCCUCCUCCCUGCCCCCCUUCGUAGAGUCGAGGCUGGAGGAACCCUUGGCACCAGCCCAGUGAAGAGGUGGCUGGAGUAUUAACCGCACAACUUCCCCCACGUAGAAGGUUAAACCCCUUUCACAGUUUCCUCCCUCCCUCCUUCCCUCGGCAGCAGCAGCACAGAGCAUAUGCUCUUUAAAAACAUAUGGUCAGCAACAAAACUUCAACUCUUUAAACAAUGAAAACACUGGAAAUGCUCACUCUGAAUGAAAAGUGAAUGUAAUGAUACUCUUCUUUUUUUUUUUAAUGAAAUAAAGGCGAUUAGAG